AUUUGGUGUCAAUGUAGUAAUGAAGAAAAUAUCUUACUCUAUUCCUUGUACGGACAUUAUUAAACUGUAUCACUGUAGUCCUCACCCCUAGCUUGGAUAUAGGCGCUUGACUACCUGGUAUUUAAGAGGAUGUAAGUAAGGAGCCUGGUGGCACAGUGGUUAAGCACUCAGCUGCUAACCAAAAGACUUUUAUUAUUGAGUGUCUACUGCAUGAGGAACCGUGUAAUAUGUGCUUUGAGAUGAUGCAAGUGAGGAACGUUGUUCUGGGAAGACUCAACUGAUAAAGGGACAAUUGCUUCUUUGCCUGAAAAAAGCAAGAGAGUGGGCUAUGUGCACAUCUGGGAGAAAUGAAUUCCAGGAAGAGAAAACUACCAGCUUAAAUCCCACAGUGCUAUCCUAAUGGAGAAUUGGAUAAAAGUGUUAGCAGCAGUCCAAGUUAUCUUCAACAAACAGCCAUCUUAAAUUCCUCUGUACUGUGGUGCAUUAAAGAUCCUUCACAGGACAUCCUGAAAAACCGUUGUAGGUUUUCACGUGAAGUGAUUUUCUCCUGUGGCAGUGCUACUCCUACAGGUCAAGAGAGUCUGCCAUAUUAAAACAGAGGGAAUUGGAGGGGUUUACCAUGUUUCAUCCAUGUAAGCUUGCAGACUGACAGGAGAGCACUUAGUCACAGGUAAAAAGCAUUAAAUUCCAUGGACUUACCCACAAGAAUCAAACAAAGGGCUUAUGUUUUGGGCUCAUCAGAACUUCCUCUCUGAGUAUAGAAGUGGAUGAAAUUGGAGGUUGCUGUAACAGUCUCUUCUCUUCACUAGUAUGUCAUUUUGCAUUUCUACAGUUUACACAUUCCAAGAGCAUAGUAGACCUUAUGUUAGUUCUUAUUAAGUUAUGACAUUAUACAACUCUGACUCAACUUCCUAAGCUAAGCAAACUUAUUUGUUCUAUAGUAGUAAAGAUCUUAAGUACUUAUCUUUUAAAGUUUUAAAAUGGCAGCAUGUCCUGAAUAACAGAAAAUUAAAAAAUGUUGCAGCUCCUGGAGGUGGUUAAAAUGGGGAAAGCAGACAUGACAAAUGGUUCCUACUUCUUAGAACUUGAGAGACUUUAUCUACAGGAAUGUUCUAGAAGAAGAAAGUAUUAUAAAUGAUACAGAUUUGUGUCAAAACUAUUACUCAUCUUGGAUCUCCCUUUUGGAAAUUUUGGCUCAAUAAGCAACCAUGUUUAAAUGGAUGUGCUGCAGAGGCUGUUGUGGAGUGCGAAGAGCUUAGGAACUAAGUCAGCAGGUUAAAACCUGACCCUCUGGCCCAUUUUUUUUCUCUCUUUGACUCUUAAAAAGCAUGUUCCCUAGAGACCUAUCCAAAUAGUCACUGGGAGUCCUGAAUCCCCACCCUUUGUCCAGUACACUGAACUGUGUUAUGCAACAUGGAAACUGUUCCCAUUCCAAUUCCUGACAGCCAGACUCUUGGAAGUCAAGCAAAGGAACAGGAUGCUUCUGUGAAGCACAACACUUUGCACUGACAUUUAUGAUCUGUGAAUACAACUAAUUUUUCUUUUAUGGGCAAAUAUGUUUUAAAAAUUUGUUUAAAUUAAAUUUUAGAAAGCAUAUAAACUGAAAAGCAGCUAUAAUAGCGAAGAGUUCUUCCUGAAUGGGAAGCAGCAGUUCUCUUGCCUUUCAUUUAUUUAAAAUGAAGAAGUGGUGAAUGAGGUGAAAAGGCUUCCGACUGGUGAACGAUCUAAUAAGGGGCACUGAGGUUGUGUUUAGGUAACUGUGAUGUUAUACGAUGGAUGAUUAUGAGUAAUACUUUGAAUUACAAUUCUUUCUUUAAUUUUCAGUGUACUUUUAAAUUAUUUUAAGACUAAAUAAUGACUAAUGAAGUAUCUUAAGAUAUCGUAAGAAGCCAUUUUGUCUGUUUUGUGUUUUCAGCUCUGUUUUCCCUGUAGGUAAUCUUCUAGAUAAAGCCAAUGUAAAAAACCUGUCAUUUUUAGCUGCCACCGAGACAACUUUGACUCAUAGUGACCCCUUGCACAUCCGAUUGAAACACUGCCUAGUCCUGUGUUGUCCUCACAAUUACUGAGAUUUCAAUUCCAUCCUUGUGGCUAUUGUGCCAAUAUGUUUUACCAAGGCUCUCCUGCACCGACCCUCUUCUUCAUCAAACGUAAUGUCCUCCUACAGUGGUUGAUCUCUCCUGAUAAUGUGCCCAAAGAAAGUGAGUUAGACAAUGUUUUCAUUGGCUAGUUUUCACAAGUAG